rnacentral:rRNA from 1 species
CCACCAAGGCGACGACGGGUAGCUGGUCUGAGAGGACGAUCAGCCACACUGGGACUGAGACACGGCCCAGACUCCUACGGGAGGCAGCAGUGGGGAAUCUUGCGCAAUGGGCGAAAGCCUGACGCAGCAACGCCGCGUGGGGGAUGAAUGCCUUCGGGUUGUAAACCCCUUUCAGUGGGAACGAAAUUGACGGUACCCACAGAAGAAGCCCCGGCCAACUACGUGCCAGCAGCCGCGGUGAUACGUAGGGGGCGAGCGUUGUCCGGAUUCAUUGGGCGUAAAGAGCUCGUAGGCGGCUUGGUAAGUCGGGUGUGAAACCUCCAGGCUCAACCUGGAGACGCCACUCGAGACUGCCCUGGCUGGAGUCCGGUAGGGGACCACGGAAUUCCUGGUGUAGCGGUGAAAUGCGCAGAUAUCAGGAGGAACACCAGUGGCGAAGGCGGUGGUCUGGGCCGGUACUGACGCUGAGGAGCGAAAGCGUGGGGAGCGAACAGGAUUAGAUACCCUGGUAGUCCACGCCGUAAACGUUGGGCACUAGGUGUGGGACCUUAUCAACGGGUUCCGUGCCGCAGCU